AUACGGAGGGGGCAAGCGUUGCUCGGAAUUACUGGGCGUAAAGGGUCCGCAGGUGGCCUCGUAAGUUAGAUGUGAAAUCUUAGGGCUUAACCCUGAAACUGCAUCUAAUACUGUGAGGCUCGAGUCCAGGAGAGGUUGGCGGAAUUCCAGGUGUAGCGGUGAAAUGCGUAGAUAUCUGAAGGAACACCAGUGGCGAAGGCGGCCAACUGGCCUGGUACUGACACUCAGGGACGAAAGCGUGGGUAGCGAACCGGAUUAGAUACCCGGGUAGUCCACGCCCUAAACGUUGGAUGCUAGGUGUGGGGAUGAAAAUCUCUGUGCCGAAGUUAACGCAUUAAGCAUCCCGCCUGGGGAGUACGGUCGCAAGAUUGAA
rnacentral:rRNA from 1 species